GUUUACCAGACAGCCACUAGAGGGACUUCCGGGUGGAUAGAUGACUUUUGGUCGCCUAAACUAUGCUGGACGUCCUCACGCUAUGCAGAACUUCCAACAUCAUUGGAAUCCCCAUAGAAAAGCCCAUUGCGUGGGCAGAGCUGAGCCAGUGCUGAAGGACACCGGUGCUGGACCCAGGUAAGUGACACAAGGGGUUAUAAACCCCUUCUGCACCACGGGGGGAGGGG